UGGGGAAUUUUGGACAAUGGGCGAAAGCCUGAUCCAGCAAUGCCGCGUGUGUGAAGAAGGCCUUCGGGUUGUAAAGCGCUUUUGUCCGGAAAGAAAUCCUUGGCUCUAAUACAGUCGGGGGAUGACGGUACCGGAAGAAUAAGCACCGGCUAACUACGUGCCAGCAGCCGCGGUAAUACGUAGGGUGCAAGCGUUAAUCGGAAUUACUGGGCGUAAAGCGUGCGCAGGCGGUUUGCUAAGACCGAUGUGAAAUCCCCGGGCUCAACCUGGGAACUGCAUUGGUGACUGGCAGGCUAGAGUAUGGCAGAGGGGGGUAGAAUUCCACGUGUAGCAGUGAAAUGCGUAGAGAUGUGGAGGAAUACGAUGGCGAAGGCAGCCCCCUGGGCCAAUACUGACGCUCAUGCACGAAAGCGUGGGGAGCAAAACAGGAUUAGAUACCCUGGUAGUCCACGCCCUAAAACGAUGUCAACUAGUUGUUGGGGAUUCAUUUCCUUAGUAACGUAGCUAACGCGUGAAGUUGACCGCCUGGGGAGUACGGUCGCAAGAUUAAAACUCAAAUGAAUUGACGGGGUCAUAGCUGUUUCCU
rnacentral:rRNA from 1 species